rnacentral:rRNA from 1 species
CUACGGGAGGCAGCAGUCGAGAAUUUUUCACAAUGGGCGAAAGCCUGAUGGAGCGACGCCGCGUGGGGGAUGAAUGGCUUCGGCCCGUAAACCCCUGUCAUUUGCGAUCAAACCUUACGACCCAACACGUCGUGAGCUGAUAGUAGCGAAAGAGGAAGGGACGGCUAACUCUGUGCCAGCAGCCGCGGUAAUACAGAGGUCCCAAGCGUUGUUCGGAUUCACUGGGUGUAAAGGGUGCGUAGGCGGUCGGGUAAGUCUGAUGUGAAAGCUCGGAGCUCAACUCCGAAAUGGCAUCGGAAACUAUUCGGCUCGAGAAAUGGAGGGGAGACUGGAAUACUUGGUGUAGCAGUGAAAUGCGUAGAUAUCAAGUGGAACCCCAGUGGCGAAGGCGAGUCUCUGGACAUUUCCUGACGCUGAGGCACGAAAGCCAGGGGAGCAAACGGGAUUAGAUACCCCAGUAGUCC